AUGCUGCGCAACAAGUAUCUAGGACAAAAGGCGGUGUCUCGGGCAUAUUGGAAACCUGGCGACUCACACUUUUGGGCUGGCCUAAUGGCGGCAAAGAAACAACUCUUCCGCUUUGGGUCUUUUGCGAUAAAGGAUGGGUCGGAGAUUCGUUUCUGGGAAGACAUCUGGCUAGGCAAUGCCAGUCUCCGAGAACAAUAUCCAGGUUUGUACAACAUUGCUCGCGAUAAGAACAAUACCAUUGCGCAUGUGCUUAGCUCAUCCCCGACGAAUAUUUCGUUCAGGCGGGAUUUAGUUGGCGCCCGACUUAUGUCAUGGCAUAAUCUCUUAUCCCGUCUGGAUCUGAUUAACCUGACACAAGGCCGUGAUGUGUUCCGCUGA
rnacentral:rRNA from 1 species